rnacentral:misc_RNA from 1 species
GAAAUGCGAUAAGUAAUGUGAAUUGCAGAAUUCAGUGAAUCAUCGAAUCUUUGAACGCACAUUGCGCCCGCCAGUAUUCUGGCGGGCAUGCCUGUCCGAGCGUCAUUUCAACCCUCGAACCCCUCCGGGGGUACGGCGUUGGGGAUCGGCCCUUUACGGGGCCGGCCCCGAAAUACAGUGGCGGUCUCGCCGCAGCCUCUCCUGCGCAGUAGUUUGCACACUCGCAUCGGGAGCGCGGCGCGUCCACGUCCGUAAAACACCCAACUUCUGAAAUGUUGACCUCGGAUCAGGUAGGAAUACCCGCUGAACUUAA